rnacentral:rRNA from 1 species
CACGUAGUUAGCCGUGGCUUUCUGAUUAGGUACCGUCAAGACGUGCAUAGUUACUUACACAUUUGUUCUUCCCUAAUAACAGAGUUUUACGAUCCGAAGACCUUAAUCACUCACGCGGCGUUGCUCCGUCAGGCUUUCGCCCAUUGCGGAAGAUUCCCUACUGCUGCCUCCCGUAGGAGUCUGGACCGUGUCUCAGUUCCAGUGUGGCCGAUCACCCUCUCAGGUCGGCUACGCAUCGUUGCCUUGGUAAGCCGUUACCUUACCAACUAGCUAAUGCGGCGCGGAUCCAUCUAUAAGUGACAGCAAAACCGUCUUUCACUAUUGAACCAUGCGGUUCAAUAUAUUAUCCGGUAUUAGCUCCGGUUUCCCGAAGUUAUCCCAGUCUUAUAGGUAGGUUAUCCACGUGUUACUCACCCGUCCGCCGCUAACGUCAGAGGAGCAAGCUCCUCGUCUGUUCGCUCGACUUGCAUGUAUUAGGCACGCCGCCAGCGUUCAUCCUGAGCCAGGA